CCGGAGGGUCCGUCGCUCGUCUCCUCGUAAGGGGCGAGAGGAAAGUCCGGGCAACAUAGAGCACCAUAUUUGCUAACGGCAAGCUAUCGGUAACGGUAGAUUAGUGUGACAGAAAACAACCGCCCCCUUCCCGGGGGUAAGGGUGAAAAGGCGAGGUAAGAGCUCACCGGGCGACAUGGCGACAUGCCGCGCCGCACACAUUAUGGGUUGCAAGGUCAAGUAUACCGGCAUCUAAGGGCUGCUCGUCCAUUGCCGGGGGGUAGACUGCUUACGGCAGCAAUGCCAGAUAAAUGACGGACGGGGCGUCGUAGCUCCCCCUCCACGGGGGAAAGCGCACACCCCACAUAACCCGGCUUAUACUCCGACC
rnacentral:RNase_P_RNA from 1 species